GACGAACGCUGGCGGCGUGCUUAACACAUGCAAGUCGAACGGAAAGGCCCUGCUUUUGUGGGGUGCUCGAGUGGCGAACGGGUGAGUAACACGUGAGUAACCUGCCCUUGACUUUGGGAUAACUUCAGGAAACUGGGGCUAAUACCGGAUAGGAGCUCCUGCUGCAUGGUGGGGGUUGGAAAGUUUCGGCGGUUGGGGAUGGACUCGCGGCUUAUCAGCUUGUUGGUGGGGUAGUGGCUUACCAAGGCUUUGACGGGUAGCCGGCAUGAGAGGGGGACCGGCCACAUGGGGACUGAGAUACGGACCAGACUCCUACGGGAGGCAGCAGUGGGGAAUAUGGCACAAUGGGCGGAAGCCUGAUGCAGCAACGCCGCGUGCGGGAUGACGGCCUUCGGGUUGUAAACCGCUUUCGCCUGUGACGAAGCGUGAGUGACGGUAAUGGGUAAAGAAGCACCGGCUAACUACGUG
rnacentral:rRNA from 1 species